AUUAGUCUUUAUAAUAUACGGAAUAAAAUAAGAGUUGUACUUACAAUCACAUAUCACAGUUGAGUUAUGAGUUUUUAGCUAAUAAUAGGCAGAAUUUGGAAUUCAAUUUUCUGGAUUUUAAGCACUAACUGAAUUUGGAAGUUAUUAAAUGAAACUGUAAUAACUUGUGGUGUGCACUAUAGUCGAGUACGUAUCUGUAUUUAAAACGGCAAUAAUUGCAUGGCAGGAAAUAUUUGUUAAAAUAAAAAUACUUCAGGCUCCGGAGGCUAUAGGCAAUAAGGCAACAACUUAAGCCAUUUAAAUGCUAAAAACGCAUAAAAACGAAAAAAUAACAAAAUUGGAAAAUUCCUUUUGGCAACACAAAAUUUUCAGAAGAGAAAAACGCAUAAAAUAUAUGCUGCAAAAUUAUAGAAAAUUCAUUUUUGGCAAAAAAUAUUGGGAUCCGAAAACAGAUUUGGACACAGAUUGUUUUGAAUCAUUGGAGAUAUAUCAAAAAGAGCAAUUGCAAAAAUUACUAACGGCGGGAACUAGUAAAUUUAUAAAAGAACUAAAAGGAACAGCGGCAAAAAUCAAAGUGUAUCUUUGAAAAACUAGAAACAUUAACAACAACAACAACAACAAUAACUACAACCAAUUAUUGGAGAAAAGGUUGUAUAAAGGAUAUUCAUACACUACGUAUACCUGCACAUGCAAUACGUUUGACUUAAAUUUAAAAAUUUCUAGAACAAAUUCUGGAUACGAAAUUUUAUUUGUUUUAUUAUUUAACAUAAAAUUUUGA